CCUUUAACCAAGAAAUUUAAAAACUUCCUACCAUGUUGAAAGUGCCUUAGGGCAAAAGAAAAUUUAAACUGGCAUCUAAUGACAUGAAAUGUAUGAGGAAAGAUAUGAAAUGAAUCAGAAAGCAUUCAACCAAGAUAACUUUCCACCAAGUUUUAAGUUCCUUAGGAUAAAUGAAAAAUUAAAUUGCCAUGUUAUUUUAUGAGGAAAGGAAAUAAAAUGAAUCAGAAACGUGAAUAUAAAAGUUAUAGGCAGAUGUCUAAAGAUCUGCCUAAAAGAUCUUCACUGAAGUAUUGCAACUCUACAAUAGCAUGCCAUAAUAAGACAACCUCUGUGACUGAAGAUGCAGGAAAAAGAAAACGGACUGAAGAGUUUUAUGAAAUUGAUGAGUUUAAUGAAUUGUACAACCAUCAAAAAGGACCAUCGACCCGGACACUAUAGACCCCCGAUUGAAAAAGGAAGUCGAUAGAGGAUCUGUGUAUUACGGAAUCCACAUGUAUAUUAAAAAAUUUUACACUCACAGACAGGUUAUGUAUCUCAACAAAUGCCAUUUUACAAAAUAAAAUUAAAAUAUUUGUCUUUUAGUACUAUCAUUUCGUCAAGGAUGGAUUUACAUUAAGUUAACUGAUAAUUUGUGGUCUGGUCACUUGUCGAGACAAUUCAAUCAAGACUUGAUCAAACUUUUUUAUCAAAUGUAUUUGGUCAUGGACGAUGGAACAAAGGAGGUUCCCAGAAUGUUUCAAUUUCCUCAUGACAUAUGAAUGAUCAAAGAGAAUCUGAUAUGAAAGAAGUGAAGCCAAAGCCAGAUGUCUGCUGGUGGUAAAUCUAGCGGGUAUGGCGGAUGUUAUAAAAGAAAAAGGCCCUUUUUGGACAAAAAUUUCAUCACUAUUCUAGACUUGUGAGCCGACGCGUUGCUAUGUAUUUUGACAAACUGUGUCGAAAUAAAAGGGUUCAGUAUCGAUUUUCUACAACCAUUGUCUCAAGAUUUUGGAUGAAGUCCAUUCUAUUCACUGCUUAAUUAAAGAAAUACCAAGUACAGCCAGUGUCAACUUCAUUCACAUAAGAUUACAUAAGAUUGAUGUAGUGGUGGUAUAAUUGUACUGCGGUGGUAGCGGUAAUUUCUAAAUGAAGUGUUCGCAAUAGACGGUAUGGUAUUAUAUAGGCGUGUACCAAUGUACCAAGGUAGUUAUAAUGGAAUGAAAUAAUAUAAACAUGUACGGUUACAGUGCCUAACGUGCUUAUGCGAAAUAUAACAGUUGCAAUGGACGUUGGCAGACCUUAAUAGCCUAAAAGUUAAAAGCUAGCUAGAUUCUGCACUACCAAUACCACAACAAUCUGUACGAAGUUGGUCUUGAACACUCCAGUGAAAAAUCACGAGUCUAACUUUCUGCACUACACACACGAAUACACUUCUGCUGCAUCAACAUAUAUGUGAAUGAGGCAAAUUAGGCACUUCAAUUUAAAAAUUGAAAUAAUAAGUAAUCAUGGAUGUUACUUAAAAUAGGUAAUAUUUUAAGCAACAAGUAUAAAUUACGAGUUAUGUUAUUUAAAUUAUAUUAAAAUUUAGAUAUUAUUGAGUAUA